AUGCAAGAGGAACCCGGCAUCUCGAGCAGAAUGAUUGGUUAUCAAGCCGCCAGAAACAGCGCUAGAGUGAAGGAAGCUGUUAAAAGAUGCAGCGCCGGGAGUCUUUUAAAGCCUGGUUCUUCUGGUGACUUGGCAGAGCUCAACCACGGAAGUCAGAGCGCUAUGGGCCGAAGACGGCCGAUAAAGGUAAUGAAAUGCACAUUCUGUGUCCUCAAAUGGCUCCUCGGCAGAGUCUGCAAACGUGCAUGCACGUGUGUGUAUGGGUGUUGGGCAAUUUGCCAUGUGAUCCAGGUGCAGAACACAUCUUUUUGUCUCCGGCUCAUCCUGCACGCUCUGGCGUCAGUUCCUUGACUGAUUAUCUGUGCCUUCAUCUAACCUCGUCAUGUUAAACCGACAUCUGAGACUCCCUGUAUUUUACUCACUGCAAUUACCUCACCACAAGGUACUAUGACUGCUAUUAUGAGUGAGUCUGGAACAAUAUGUCAUCUUUAGGGUUAAGAGAUGCAGCGCAAGAAUUUAAUUUUGAAAUACAGCUGUUCGAAAACAUUGCUGAUGAUGAAGAUGUCUGGCAUUAUGUAAAAGUUAGUUUUCAGGUAGUCUAAAAGAGUGACAAUUAAACAUGAGCAUGCAGUGAUUUGUAGUUGCAGCAAGGAGCAGUUUAAAGGGAUAGUCCACUCAAAAAUGAAAAUUCUGUCAUUAAUUACUCACCCUCCAAACCUGUAAGACCUUUGUUCAUAUUCAUACACAAAUUAAGAUAUUAUUUUGUUUUCUUUGCGCACAAGAAGUAUUCUCGUAGCUUCAUAACAUAACGGUUGAACCACUGAUGUCACAUGUACUAUUUUAAUGAUGUCCUUACUAUCCUUCUAGGCCUUGAACGUGGUAGUUGUGUUUCAGUUUAUGCAGGGUCAGAAAGCUCAUCAAAAAUAUAUUAAUUUGUGUUCCGAAGAUGAACAAAGGUCUCAUGGGUUUGUAACAAUGAGAGUGAGUAAUUAAUGACAGAAUUUUUAUUUUGGUUGAACUAUCCCUAACCAAAUCACUUAUUGCUCAAAACAGUGGGCUUUUUUAUGCUGAAUGCAAAAUAAUAUUUAUGAAUAAUCCUUAUAGUG
rnacentral:lncRNA from 1 species